rnacentral:tRNA from 1 species
UUACAUAUGUUUCUUUUAAGCUUGUUUUGCUUAUUUAGUGUUUACACUUGUGUAAU